rnacentral:rRNA from 1 species
GACGAACGCUGGCGGCGUGCUUAACACAUGCAAGUCGAACGGUAAGGCCCUUCGGGGUACACGAGUGGCGAACGGGUGAGUAACACGUGGGUGAUCUGCCCUGCACUUCGGGAUAAGCCUGGGAAACUGGGUCUAAUACCGGAUAGGACUCCUGGCUUCAUGGUUGGGGGUGGAAAGCUUUUGCGGUGUGGGAUGGGCCCGCGGCCUAUCGGCUUGUUGGUGGGGUAAUGGCCUACCAAGGCGACGACGGGUAGCCGGACUGAGAGGGUGACCGGUCACACUGGGACUGAGAUACGGCCCAGACUCCGACGGGAGGCAGCAGUGGGGAAUAUUGCACAAUGGGCGCAAGCCUGAUGCGGCGACGCCGCGUGAGGGAUGACGGCCUUCGGGUUGUAAACCUCUUUCAGCUAUGACGAAGCGCAAGUGACGGUAGGUGCAGAAGAAGGACCGGCCAACUACGUGCCAGCCGCCGCAGUAA